rnacentral:rRNA from 1 species
UACGGAGGGGGCGAGCGUUGUUCGGAAUUAUUGGGCGUAAAGGGCGCGUAGGCGGCACUGUAAGUCGGAUGUGAAAGCCCUUGGCUUAACCAAGGAACUGCAUCCGAAACUGCGGUGCUUGAAUCCGGAAGGGGAGAGUGGAAUUCCCAGUGUAGCGGUGAAAUGCGUAGAUAUUGGGAGGAACACCGGUGGCGAAGGCGGCUCUCUGGACCGGUAUUGACGCUGAGGCGCGAAAGCUAGGGGAGCAAACGGG